rnacentral:rRNA from 1 species
UCAGUCGACUCCUACGGGGAGGCAGCAGUGGGGAAUAUUGCACAAUGGGGGAAACCCUGAUGCAGCCAUGCCGCGUGUGUGAAGAAGGCCUUCGGGUUGUAAAGCACUUUCAGUAGGGAGGAAGGUAGUGUAGUUAACACCUGCAUUAUUUGACGUUACCUACAGAAGAAGCACCGGCUAACUCCGUGCCAGCAGCCGCGGUAAUACGGAGGGUGCGAGCGUUAAUCGGAAUUACUGGGCGUAAAGCGCAUGCAGGCGGCCUGUUAAGUCAGAUGUGAAAGCCCGGGGCUUAACCUCGGAAUUGCAUUUGAAACUGGCAGGCUAGAGUCUUGUAGAGGGGGGUAGGAAUUUCAGGUGUAGCGGUGAAAUGCGUAGAGAUCUGAAGGAAUACCAGUGGCGAAGGCGGCCCCCUGGACAAAGACUGACGCUCAGAUGCGAAAGCGUGGGGAGCAAACAGGAUUAGAUACCCUGGUG